rnacentral:rRNA from 2 species
ACGGGAGGCAGCAGUGGGGAAUAUUGGGCAAUGGGCGAAAGCCUGACCCAGCAACGCCGCGUGAAGGAAGAAGGUCUUCGGAUUGUAAACUUCUUUUAUGAGGGACGAAGGACGUGACGGUACCUCAUGAAUAAGCCACGGCUAACUACGUGCCAGCAGCCGCGGUAAUACGUAGGUGGCAAGCGUUAUCCGGAUUUACUGGGUGUAAAGGGCGCGUAGGCGGGAGAGCAAGUCAGAUGUGAAAUCCAUGGGCUUAACCCAUGAACUGCAUUUGAAACUGUUCUUCUUGAGUGCUGGAGAGGUAGACGGAAUUCCUUGUGUAGCGGUGAAAUGCGUAGAUAUAAGGAAGAACACCAGUGGCGAAGGCGGUCUACUGGACAGUAACUGACGCUGAGGCGCGAAAGCGUGGGGAGCAAACAGGAUUAGAUACCCUGGUA